AUCUGCACGUGACGUUGGCAGAAGGAACGUGACAUGGUUGUAUUGUUGUUUGCGUUCGUUGACUACUGCGCACCUUGCGACGCCACACCAUUGACGUUGCUGAAGCAGUAGCUGCGUCGUAAUUUUCGAACUCGGGGGCCAUCAAAGCACAUGCGCACAAAGUAGCUAUAGCAGUUCAUAAUUCAGCAGAAAUCUGCGUCAGUGCACUUGCAUCGCAAAAGGAGCUGUUCCAACUUUCAGCUGUUCAAGCAGAGACCUCUUCAAACUGGUGUACACAUUCUUGCUCAUUUGAAUUGUCAAAGUUGACUCCCAGUAAUCUAAUGCCUUUGCUGUUCAACAACCGAUAACCACUUCAACUGCUGUGAGUGUGAAAUCGGUGAAUGAAGUCAAGGAGGGACUGGGAGGUGUGACAGCCGAUGGGGAUCAACAGCAACGAGGAGUGGAGAACGUGAAGGAUGAGAAGUCGGCUGUUGUGGAGGACAAAGCAGCAGCAUUGGUUGCUGUCAGACCGUCUGUUCGAGCUUCUACCAACUUGGUUCAAGCACAGGACACAGAGACGCCAAAUUUCCGUGAGAAUCACUCUUGUGUGUUGCUUGGCUAACUAUCAGUAAUGAGAACUUGUCUCUUGUGUCAGUUGGAGUUGUAAAGGAAGGGAUGACAUCUGACAUGUGCUUUAGGAGCAUCUUCUUCUGUGUGCAGUUUGGCAUGGGAAUGGUCUGCUAACCACAUAAAUCAGGAAUUGAGUAUAGCAAUUGAGUUUUAGAGCAGCAGUUGAAAAAAUUCUUGGACAUGUGAAGAAGAUUGCAUAUAUUUGGAAGGUUGGAUCAAUGAAUGGCAUGUCAAAGUAGUGUCCAGCAAAAUCAUGCCACUAUUCAAGCUGCUAGUGCAACAGCUGUGACAUUUGUUUACCAGUUUACGAUGCUGUAGAAUUCAAUUCUAACCAGUUAUAGUCAUUACCGGUUGGAUAUAAUAAUAUAAAUACACAGACACAGACACACACACACACACACACACACACACACACACACACACACACACACACACACACACACACCACAUGUAUAAUAAGCUAGUGUAUACUGAGCACUGAUAACAAUCUGUGGCAUAUCAGUACUGAGUAGCAAGUCAAAUAACAACCAGUUUGUAGUUGUGUGUGUACAAUGUUGCAUUUAGUAACUCUUGCACACUGCUUCAAGUGUGCUUUAGCGAAAUCCGGUUAAUUAGUAAAAUUCACGUACAUAUACCUGGGAGGCAAUGGAUUUGGCUUCAUGUAUUGCUUGGAACUCUCUAAUUCCUUCAAGAUUGAAUACGCCAAAUAGGAAUGC